AAAAAAUAUCAAUGGAGAGUUUGAUCCUGGCUCAGGAUGAACGCUGGCGGUAUGCUUAACACAUGCAAGUCGUACGGGAAAGAUUUCUAUUUUUCCUAGUGGCGGACGGGUGCGUAACACGUAAGAACCUACCUUUUGGAGGGGGAUAACAUCGGGAAACUGAUGCUAAUACCCCGUAAUAGCUGAGGAGUGAAAGCGGUUUUCCGCGCCAAGAGAGGGGCUUGCGGCUGAUUAGCUAGUUGGUGGGGGUAAAGGCCUCCCAAGGCCACGAUCAGUAGCUGGUUUGAGAGGACGAUCAGCCACACUGGGACUGAGACACGGCCCAGACUCCUACGGGAGGCAGCAGUGAGGAAUUUUCCACAAUGGGCGAAAGCCUGAUGGAGCAAUACCGCGUGGGGGAUGAAGGUUCGUGGAUCGUAAACCCCUUUUCUCAGAGAAGAAGAUCUGACGGUAUCUGAGGAAUAAGCUCCGGCUAACUGAGAUUGGCCUCCUGUUUUGUGAAAAACAGGGAAAAUUUUCGGCUCAUAACGAUGAAUCCUUAACUUCAUAAUAACGAAGAGGGUGAUAUCGUGGGAAGUCUUAAAUAUGUAAUUCUUCUUAUUUUUUUUAAAACCGGUGGAAAGGGUUUAUUUGGAUUAGGAGUUCUUCGACGAGUGUCGACGAGUGUCGACGAGUGUCGACGAGUGUCGACGACCCUCGACGACCCCCGAUGACCCUCCAUGACACCUAAUGACACCUGUCAAAGGUACCGGUAUUAACGGUUGUUCAAAUUUAAUAAAUAAAAAAUGUAAAAAUUAAUAAAAAAACAUAUGAAUAUUUUAAAUAAAAACAAUCCUCUUAACAAUGAGGAAAAAGCUAUCUUAAUAGGAGGUCUUUUAGGUGAUGAAGUUUUAGUUCGACGUGAUGGUAGUUAUCGCUAUAGAGUAGCGCAUAGUAUACAUCAAGCCGACUAUGUAUAUUGGAAACAUAAUAAACUUAUAAAUAGAUGUAAAAAAACUCAACCACCCAAAAUCUAUCUCGAAAAAGGAAAAUUCGAAAGAAUCGAAUUUUAUACAGAUUCAGGUAAUUAUUUGAAAGAAAUACAUGAGUUAAUGUAUAAAAAACUUCCUAAUGGAAGAUACAGAAAAACAAUAACUCAAGAAGUAAUAGAUAAAUUACCUGUUGAUCCUUUAGUAGUAGCUGUAUGGUAUUUAGAUGAUGGUAGUAUUCGUAAUGAUUGUUAUGCAGGAAAGAUAGCAUCUCAAGGUUUUUCAAAAGAAGAAAAUGAACUUCUUUGUGAUUAUUUACGAAAAUUUAAUAUUAACUGUCAUAUAGUUAAGCAUACAGAAAUAAGUGGUCAGUGGUAUAUAACUAUACCAGCAUCAACCUUUGGAAACUUAAUUAAGGUAAUUGAUCCUAUUGUAAGAGAAGUACCUUCUAUGGUUUAUAAGUUAAAUGAAUUACGUAGACCCCGUAACGACUGAGGAAAGGCAAAAGCCGAGUACGAGAUAAGAUGAUAGUUAAUCCAGUUGGAAAACUUAAGUCUUAUAAAACGCCGACUACUUAAAAAAAAGAAAAUAAAAAGUAGAAUGUAUAGUCUAUGCCGAAGUUAUAAACUUUGGGCUACAUGAACUCUGUGCCAGCAGCCGCGGUUUGGCUUAAAUUGCCGCAAUAUACCUUAAGGUAUAUUAAGAAUUCUGCUUAUAUUGAAGGAGCCUACGCUGUAAAGUAUGGUAAUUUCAAGGGAAGCUUCUCUUUAAAGAGAUAGCCCCUUAACGACUGACCCGAAAGGGGAGACUGAUUAUUGUUUAUCUAUAAUAUUUUAAACAAAAUCGGUAAUACGCAGAACCUUAGCGCAUAAAUAGAAACCUAGUUAUGUGUAACCAGGAAAAGAAUUUUUCCUGAAUAUAAAUGAAAGUAUUUUGAAUUUAUAAAUAAUAGUUUUAAAUGAAGGAGAUAAUUAAUGAACGUUAACUUAAAAGAAAUUUUUUAUUUUAUGGGUUUAACCCAAAGUGAUGGUGGUUUUUAUGUACUUGUAAGGGGAGUUGAACCAGUAUUCAAACCAGUAUUUAAAUUAGCUAGCUUAACUAACACCAACACUUUAGAUCAGUCAAUUGACUUUUUAAAGAGAAUUGGUGUUUAUUCUGGUUAUGAAGAAGGAGUUCCUUCAGAUCCCGAAAUAGGGGAAGCUGGUAGAGCACCCUCAAUCAGGGUACAAAGCGUUGAAGGUAUUAAAAAGAUCAUAUCUUUAUACCAAGACGCUUGGUUCAAAGUUACUGGUGUUGAAACACCUUUACUCGCAAACAAGCAAAGAGAUCUUAAGCUUUUAGCACUUACUUACUCAAAUAUCACUUUUUCUAAAGAAGAAAAAAUUGAUAUUAGACAUAGCUUUCACAAAGAAAGCUACAUUGAUCAAGAUUUACCUACAAAUGUACAAACAAAAUCACGUGCCGAGCACGAAGAAAUAUUUAACAUAGUUGGUAAAAGUGCAGGAUCUGCUAAAAAUAUUAUAGAAAAUGUAGAAAAAACGUUAAAACCAACUGACCCUGCUAAAAUUCCUUGUGAUUUUUGGUUAGGUUUAUUAGAUGGUGAUGGUGGUUUUCACGUAGCGUGUCACGCAGAAAAAAACGACAAAAACGAAUACAUUAGCUAUUUGUCAUUUUCUAUCUAUGUUACUCUAACUUUAGAGUUAGGUUCUAAAAGUGUUUUUACAGAUUUUGAAAAAGCUUUAGGUUUAAAACCAUUAAGAAUAAACGAUUUUCGCAAAACAACAGGUAAAAACGCUUAUCAAGUUCAAAUUCGUGAUGCUAAAGAAGUAAAAAAGAUCAUUAAAUUUAUUGAUGAUUGUGGAGGUUUACGUGGUGAUACUAAAAGAAGUGAUUUCGAAUUAAUGAAAGAAACACAAAACCUUAGAGAACAAGGUGUUCUUUAUAAAUCUUUUAGUGGUGACCGUGCCUACCAACAUGGUAUCAUGGAUAAACUUUUAUUUAAAAUUUUUAAAGUUGGGCAAAAGCCUCGUAAAGGUCCUAAACGUUCAUUAACUUAUGAAAGUGCAAUGGAUAUUGUUAAGAGACUUUACAAAUAGUUACACAUGGUUUAACCAUAACAACCUAAGGGUUUUGCUAAGGAUAAGAUAUAGUCUGGUCUCUAUUGAAAAAUAGGGUGUUAACCGAAUACAGGGGGAGCAAGCGUUAUCCGGAAUGAUUGGGCGUAAAGCGUCUGUAGGUGGUUCUUUAAGUCUACUGUCAAAUACGUUGGCUCAACCAACGGCAGGCAGUGGAGUACUAAAGAACUAGAGUGCGGUAGAGGUAGAGGGAAUCCCUAGCGUAACAGUGAAAUGUGUAGAUUUUAGGGAGAACACCAGCGGCGAAGGCGCUCUACUGGGCCGAUACUGACACUGAGAGACGAAAGCUAGAGGAGCGAAUAGGAUUAGAUACCCUAGUAGUUCUAGCUGUAAACGAUGGAAACUAAGAGGGGGUAACCCCCUUCUGUAGCUAACGCGUUAAGUUUCCCGCCUGGGGAGUAUGCUCGCAAGAGUGAAACUCAAAGGAAUUGACGGGAGACCACACAAUAGGUAAACCGAUAAUCUGCCUAGUGGCUUUGCGAAAAGCUAUGGUCUUUUAAACACUAAAAGUCUUCUCGUCAAAAAAGAAAUAGUGGCAUAACAAUAAAGUUUAUUGUUAUGUAAGGCAAAAAACUGGCUCAAAACGACGAAAAUCGAGAACUCUCGGCAACGUCGUGGAUUUUAGAAUAUACACUAAAAACUAAUAUAUGGGCCGCACAUUACAGUAAUGAUUUAUGCUGUAUUCCAUAUUCAAAAUCAUUUUUACCAAUCACAUUUUAUUUACAUUCUAUAAGAAAGUAUAAGUUUUUUACUGGAGGAGCUGCAGUUAAGCAGGAGCAUAAAGGGUCUACCUUGUCUUUGUUCGUCAAGCCUUAGGCCAUUCCAACAGAAAAACAAAAGUGAUAGCCACACUAUGGUAAUUGGUUAGGAUUUUAAUGUGAAUCUGAAACUUUUUAGUUUUAACACGGCUAGAAACCUAAGUUAUUCUAAAGAGUAAAGGCAAGGCAUUUUUCUUCGAAGAAGGCAGGUUUUUAUUUUUUUAUAAAAAAAAAUAAAAACUGUAAGCACUUGGAACAAAAUUGGAAACUUUGCUUUUAGUGCUCGUAUAGUUAUAUUAGUUUGGUGUAAGGUAUUUUAAAGUCUGUAACGACUCAUUCGUAUCUUAGUUGAGAUAGUUUACUUUUUUAAAAAAAGUAAAUAAGAAUGGACUAUACUAAUGUAUAGUAAUACGGCCAGCUCUUUUAAGGAACUCUUUUUUUUUAUGACUAAACAUAUUACAGAAUAUAACUAUGAUGAAUUAGUCAAUUCGGAAAACCAACAACAAACUUAUAGCGAUGAACCUAUAACAUGGGCUUAUAUAGCUGGUUUGUUACAAACAGAUGGUACUUUUUCUUUUAUGUGGACAAGGAGAGAUGGAUCUUUUUGUCCUAGAGUUUUUCUUACUUUUGGUCAAAAACGUUAUAAUUUUGCAAAAUAUAGAAUUCAACCGUUUUUUACAAAACAAGAUAUAAGAACGACUCUAAAUCCUAGAACAUUAAAGAAUGCCAAAAAUAUAAGUGACGAAAAAGGUGUAAAUGUUGUUAUUGAAAAUAAUAAAAAUGUGAAUAUUCUAAUAAAAAAAUUAAGCGAAGAAUUUAACUUUAGUAAUUCGAUUUGUUUUGCUGAUGGUAAAUUAAGAGAUUAUUUAUUACUAAAAAAAGCACUCGAAUUAAAUGAGAAAAUCAAAUCGUCACGUGAUCAAAAUUUUAAAACUACAGAAAAGUGUCGUUUAGUUUUUAUUAAAUUAAAAAUGUCUGAACGUGCUACAUCAGAGCGAGCUUUAACAAAAGAAGAAUGGUUGGCGCGAUUAAAAAUCGACCCAACUCGUGAUGUCCAAUCACUUGGUAAAGGUUUGUAUGAUGAAAUAGUAGAAGAAGCUAAAGCGUUAAAUCAACAAUUUAGUAAUUUUGCUAAAUAUUCAUCUAAAAGCCCCAACUUAAACAAAUUACGUCAAUAUUUUACAGGCGUUUUUGAAGGUGAUGGUAGUUUUUCUAUUGGUUUAUUUACUCAUUUAACUGAAGAAGGUACACCACAACGUGAACGUAGACCUCUUGAAUUUGUAGCUUCAGCUAGUGUUACUGACUUAUAUGAUCCUGAGAAAUUUGCAGACCAAGGUUUUUAUAAAGUACUAAAUUCUUGGUUUGAAACAAGUCGAAAGGGUGUAGGAGUAGAAAAAGGUAAAAAAGGUAAUCGAAUUUUUUGGAAAAGUCAAGCAGAUAUAUUAAAAGUCAGUAGUCGUUUAGAUAAUCUUCAUAUUAAUAGAUUAGAAUUUAGACGUCGUCAUACUGAACGUUUGGCAUUAGCAUUACAAAAUAAUGAGGUUUAUAAUAAUCCUGCAUUUGCUAAACAAAUAAUAGAUCUGCGAUUUAAUCCAUCUUUUUCGGAUCCUUCUCAUAUGCCUGGUAACACAAUCGAUUUUUAUUAUCAUUUAAUAGACAACUACACUCGUUAAGUUUGUAUGUCUUUGGUUAAUUCAGGAUUUUAGUCUAAUUCGUCAAGUUUUCAUUCGAGAAAUUAAUAAAAAAUUAUGUUAACAAUUGGUAAUUUUUACAUCUAUAUUUUUUCUGAAAUACUAAUUCGUUUUUUUACUAGUGAGAAUGUUUUUAUUAAUUUUGUCUGAAGUUCUUUUCUUCAGUAUGUAAAUAAUUUUUAUGAUCCUAAAUAAGUUUAAUUAUUUAUUUGGGAUCACCCUCAUAGUCAUAUCGAGUUCCUCAAGGUUAACAACCUUUAAUAAAAGAUGAAUGCAUAGUCUAAAUUCCAUUGAAAAAUGGAUAGUUAUAAAUCUCUUUUGGGAUUAUGCGGUUUAAUUUGAUGCAACGCAAAGAACCUUACCAGGGUUUGACAUGUCUAGAAUUUUUCAGAAAUGGAAAAGUGCUUCCUUUUUAUGAAAGGAAGAACUAGAACACAGGUGGUGCAUGGCUGUCGUCAGCUCGUGCGUUGACGUGUAUGGUUAAGUCCUGCAACGAGCGCAACCCUCGUCUUUAGUUACUUUCCAAGUUCUCUAAAGAGACUGCGCGCGCAAGCGCUGAGGAAGGUGAGGAUGACGUCAAGUCAGCAUGCCCCUUACACCCUGGGCGACACGCGUAAUACAAUGGUUGGGACAAUCAGAAGCUACCCCGCAAGGGCACGCCAAUCUGCUAAACUCAACCCUAGUUCGGAUUGUAGGCUGCAACUCGCCUACAUGAAGCCGGAAUCUAUAGUAAUCGCCAGUCAGCUAUAUGGCGGUGAAUACGUUCCUGGUCUCUGU
rnacentral:rRNA from 1 species